AGAACGAACGCUGGCGGCGUGCUUAACACAUGCAAGUCGAACGCGAAAGGGAACUCGGUCCUGAGUAAAGUGGCGCACGGGUGAGUAACGCGUAGAUAACCUGUCUUCAUGUCUGGAAUAAUACGCCGAAAGGGGUACUAAUACCGGAUAUUCUUGCUUUUCAUAAGUUAUGCAAGCAAAGGUGGCCUCUGCAUAUGCUACUGCAUGAAGAGGGGUCUGCGUACCAUUAGCUAGUAGGUGGGGUAAUGGCCUACCUAGGCGACGAUGGUUAGCGGGUCUGAGAGGAUGAUCCGCCACACUGGCACUGGAACACGGGCCAGACUCCUACGGGAGGCAGCAGUGAGGAAUAUUGCGCAAUGGGGGAAACCCUGACGCAGCGACGCCGCGUGAGUGAAGGAAGGCCUUCGGGUCGUAAAGCUCUGUCAAGAGGAAAGAAGUGUACAAUGGCUAAUACCUGUUGUAUUUGACGGUACCUCUAAAGGAAGCACCGGCUAACUCCGUGCCAGCAGCGGC
rnacentral:rRNA from 1 species